rnacentral:rRNA from 1 species
GGAAUAUUGGGCAAUGGACGAGAGUCUGACCCAGCCAUGCCGCGUGUAGGAAGAAGGCUUUCUGAGUUGUAAACUACUUUUGAUUGGGAACAAAAGAUCCAUGCGUGGAGCAUUGAGUGUACCAAUAGAAUAAGCACCGGCUAACUCCGUGCCAGCAGCCGCGGUAAUACGGAGGGUGCAAGCGUUGUCCGGAUUUAUUGGGUUUAAAGGGUGCGUAGGCGGCAGAUUAAGUCAGCGGUGAAAUUCCACAGCUCAACUGUGGAACUGCCAUUGAUACUGGUUUGCUUGAGUACAGAUGAGGUAGGCGGAAUUGACAGUGUAGCGGUGAAAUGCUUAGAUAUUGUCAAGAACACCUAUUGCGAAGGCAGCUUACUAAGCUGUAACUGACGCUGAGGCACGAAAGCGUGGGGAUCAAAC